rnacentral:rRNA from 1 species
UCCGUAGGCGGAUUGAUAAGUCAGAGGUGAAAUCCCACAGCUUAACUGUGGAACUGCCUUUGAAACUGUUAGUCUUGAGUUAUAUGGAAGUAGAUAGAAUGUGUAGUAUAGCGGUGAAAUGCAUAGAGAUUACACAGAAUACCGAUUGCGAAGGCAGUCUACUACGUAUAUACUGACGCUAAUGGACGAAAGCGUGGGGAGCGAACAGGAUUAGAUACCCUGGUAGUCC